AAAUUGAAGAGUUUGAUCAUGGCUCAGAUUGAACGCUGGCGGCAGGCCUAACACAUGCAAGUCGAACGGUAACAGGAAGCAGCUUGCUGCUUUGCUGACGAGUGGCGGACGGGUGAGUAAUGUCUGGGAAACUGCCUGAUGGAGGGGGAUAACUACUGGAAACGGUAGCUAAUACCGCAUAACGUCGCAAGACCAAAGAGGGGGACCUUAGGGCCUCUUGCCAUCGGAUGUGCCCAGAUGGGAUUAGCUAGUAGGUGGGGUAACGGCUCACCUAGGCGACGAUCCCUAGCUGGUCUGAGAGGAUGACCAGCCACACUGGAACUGAGACACGGUCCAGACUCCUACGGGAGGCAGCAGUGGGGAAUAUUGCACAAUGGGCGCAAGCCUGAUGCAGCCAUGCCGCGUGUAUGAAGAAGGCCUUCGGGUUGUAAAGUACUUUCAGCGGGGAGGAAGGGAGUAAAG
rnacentral:rRNA from 1 species